ACGAAAAUUCCAAAAAC
rnacentral:sRNA from 1 species